rnacentral:lncRNA from 10 species
CUUCCCGAGGGCGGCACGAGGGCUGGGCGGUGGGGUGCGGGUGCCCGGGUGAGGGGCGGAGCUGGGGGCAUGGCGUCCGGAGCGGCUCGCUGGCUAGUAUUGGCACCCGUCAGGUCCGGGGCUCUCCGGAGCGGGCCUAGCUUGAGGAAAGAUGGCGAUGUCUCCGCCGCAUGGAGCGGCUCAGGCCGGAGCCUGGUACCGUCGAGAUGUCCUUCGGCCUUCUCCGUGUGUUCUCCAUUGUGAUCCCCUUUCUCUAUGUCGGGACACUCAUUAGCAAGAACUUUGCUGCUCUACUUGAGGAACAUGACAUUUUUGUUCCAGAGGAUGAUGAUGAUGAUGACUAACAGGUCACGACCCCCAGGAGACCUGGAGGACUGAAUGCUGCUGCCCCCAAGGAGGAGGCUGCCGUCUUAUCCCAGGAGGGAGAGCAG